rnacentral:misc_RNA from 1 species
AAGUCGUAACAAGGUUUCCGUAGGUGAACCUGCGGAAGGAUCAUUAACGAGUAAACAGGGGAGUUGUAGCUGGCCGCAAGGCAUGUGCAGCGCUCUCUACUCAAUCCAACCUUACACCUGUGCACCUAUUGUAGGUCGAGUGGCCGGACUUGUUCUGGUCGCUCUUCCUAUGUUUUACACAUACACUUGUAGUCUCAGAAUGUAAUCCGCGUAUAACGCAUUAUAAAACAA